rnacentral:rRNA from 1 species
GAGCAACGCCGCGUGAGCGAUGAAGGCCUUCGGGUCGUAAAGCUCUGUUGUUAGGGAAGAACAAGUACCGGAGUAACUGCCGGUACCUUGACGGUACCUAACCAGAAAGCCACGGCUAACUACGUGCCAGCAGCCGCGGUAAUACGUAGGUGGCAAGCGUUGUCCGGAAUUAUUGGGCGUAAAGCGCGCGCAGGCGGUCCUUUAAGUCUGAUGUGAAAGCCCACGGCUCAACCGUGGAGGGUCAUUGGAAACUGGGGGACUUGAGUGCAGAAGAGGAAAGCGGAAUUCCACGUGUAGCGGUGAAAUGCGUAGAGAUGUGGAGGAACACCAGUGGCGAAGGCGGCUUUCUGGUCUGUAACUGACGCUGAGGCGCGAAAGCGUGGGGAGCGAACAGGAUUAGAUACCCUGGUAGUCCACGCCGUAAACGAUGAGUGCUAAGUGUUAGAGGGUUUCCGCCCUUUAGUGCUGCAGCUAACGCAUUAAGCACUCCGCCUGGGGAGUACGGCCGCAAGGCUGAAACUCAAAGGAAUUGACGGA